AGAGUUUUGAACCUGGCUCAGGACGAACGCUGGCGGCGUGCUUAACACAUGCAAGUCGAACGGGAUUUAGUAGACAGAAGCCUCGGUGGAAGAUUACUAAUGAGAGUGGCGAACGGGUGAGUAACGCGUGAGCAACCUGCCUAUGACAGUGGGAUAGCCUCGGGAAACCGGGAUUAAUACCGCAUAAAAUCGUAGAAACACAUGUUUCAACGGUCAAAGAUUUAUCGGUCAUAGAUGGGCUCGCGUCUGAUUAGCUAGUUGGUGAGAUAACAGCCCACCAAGGCGACGAUCAGUAGCCGGUCUGAGAGGAUGAACGGCCACAUUGGAACUGAGACACGGUCCAAACUCCUACGGGAGGCAGCAGUGGGGAAUAUUGCACAAUGGGGGAAACCCUGAUGCAGCGACGCCGCGUGAACGAAGAAGGUAUUCGUAUCGUAAAGUUCUGUCCUAUGGGAAGAUAAUGACAGUACCAUAGAAGAAAGCUCCGGCUAAAUACUCAGCGUUCCGG
rnacentral:rRNA from 1 species